rnacentral:rRNA from 1 species
GGCGAACGCUGGCGGCGUGCCUAAUACAUGCAAGUCGAACGCAUGUUCAGUCACCGUAGCUUGCUACGCCGAGAGAAAAUGGGUGGCGAACGGGUGACUAACACGUGUGUAACCUGCCCAUCAGCGAGGGAUAACACCUGACAACAGGAGCUCAUACCGCAUAAGUCCAUUUACCGCAUGUUAGAGGGAUUAACGCCGCUUUUUCGGCCCAUAUCGAUGUACCCAGGGUGCAUUGGCAAGUUGGGGGGGGAACGGCCUACCAAGGCGGCGUUGCAUAGCCGGCCUUGGGGGGUGGUCGGCCCCACUGGGACUGAGACAAGGCCCAGGCCCCUAAGGGAGGCAGCAGGAGGGAAACUUUGGCCAGGGGGGCAAGUCUGACCGAGCAAAGCCGGGGGAGGGAAGAAGGUUUUCGGAUCGUAAAAGUCUGUUGUUAGAGAAGAAAAAGGAUGAGAGUGGAAAGUUCAUCUCUUGACGGUAUCUAAACAGAAAGCCACGGCUAACUACGUG